GACGAACGCUGGCGGCGUGCUUAACACAUGCAAGUCGAACGGAAAGACCCCUUUGGGGGUACUCGAGUGGCGAACGGGUGAGUAACACGUGAGUAACCUGCCCUUGACUUCGGGAUAACUUCAGGAAACUGGGGCUAAUACCGGAUAGGAAUCCUUGCUGCAUGGUGGGGGUUGGAAAGCUUCGGCGGUUUUGGAUGGACUCGCGGCUUAUCAGCUUGUUGGUGGGGUAGUGGCUUACCAAGGCUUUGACGGGUAGCCGGCCUGAGAGGGCGACCGGCCACAUUGGGACUGAGAUACGGCCCAGACUCCUACGGGAGGCAGCAGUGGGGAAUAUUGCACAAUGGGCGGAAGCCUGAUGCAGCAACGCCGCGUGCGGGAUGACGGCCUUCGGGUUGUAAACCGCUUUCAGCAGGGGCGAAGCUUGUGGUGACGGUACCUGCAGAAGAAGCACCGGCUAACUACGUG
rnacentral:rRNA from 1 species